UACAGAGGGGGCGAGCGUUAUUCGGAAUUAUUGGGCGUAAAGGGCGCGUAGGCGGCCUUUCAAGUGACGGGUGAAAUCCCUCGGCUUAACCGAGGAACUGCCUGUCAGACUGGAAGGCUUGAGACCGGGAGAGGUGAGUGGAAUUCCCAGUGUAGCGGUGAAAUGCGUAGAUAUUGGGAGGAACACCAGUGGCGAAGGCGGCUCACUGGACCGGUACUGACGCUGAGGCGCGAAAGCCAGGGGAGCGAACGGG
rnacentral:rRNA from 1 species